AGCAGCCGCCGCGGUAAUACGUAGGGUGCGAGCGUUAAUCGGAAUUACUGGGCGUAAAGCGUGCGCAGGCGGUUCGUUAAGACAGAUGUGAAAUCCCCGGGCUUAACCUGGGAACUGCAUUUGUGACUGGCGAGCUAGAGUAUGGCAGAGGGGGGUAGAAUUCCACGUGUAGCAGUGAAAUGCGUAGAGAUGUGGAGGAAUACCGAUGGCGAAGGCAGCCCCCUGGGCCAAUACUGACGCUCAUGCACGAAAGCGUGGGGAGCAAACAGGAUUAGAUACCCGUGUAGUCCCUGUCUCUUAUAU
rnacentral:rRNA from 1 species